CGAAGACGGCAUUACGCACAAACUAUGGUGCGUCCGACGAAAAAAACGCACGUGCGACCAGUGCGAAAUUUUUUUUUAAUUUUUUUUGUCAGCGUAUCCCAAUCCAAGAACCUCAAGAGAAUUUUCACAGCAUACAUGUAUAUUCACCCGCAAGAUAAAUUCCCGUAGAAUCAGUAAAAUCCCAAAAAUUAAUUUAUCAAAAAUUAAAAGUAUGACGGAAAUUUCAAGAAUCUCCCGUUCACUGGAAUUCAGGGAAAGUAAUGACGUGUCACGGUAAGUCAAAGAAAAGUGCGCAUGCGCACAAGCAUACGCCCGCACAAGCUGUCUAAAAUCCUGUCCGGAUAUUGCAUAUUUUUCCAUAUACUUUGGUGCGCGCGCGUGUGUGUAUGUGUGUGUAUAGAACAGGAAACCUAUUUUUUUUUACCAUUGUCCUUCUGGCAUCGGAUUUUCGAAAGUGAACAAUUUUUCAAAAUAUUUUUUCUUUAAAUACUCAAAAAAAGAAAGGAAAUCCUAAUACGUGCAUAUUCGCACGAGAAGGCUUCACGAUCCAAUAUGACGUCGAGAUGACACGUGGAGAAUAAUUCGGGACGAUAUCGGUGCGCGCUGAUAAUGAUUUCAAUGAUUGCGGGAUGACGAACACGGAUUCUCGUACUCCUUAAUAUACCCGCUACGUCGUUAUCAAGGUAAAUGAUAUUUAGCCAAUGAAUUCGUAAAAGUUUCUAUCGUUAUCCUAUAUCUAUUUCCUUCAUACAUAUAUAUAUAUAUUAUACUAUAUAUACUGUCUUAAUGAUGUCUGUAUUACUCUAUCCACUACUUUUUUUUCUCUACGUCAUUAUAUUGUAUAUCUAUAUAUAAUAUCCACGCAUCCAGUAACACUGUAUACGUAUAAUUACGCUUUAAUUAAUUCAUUGAUCUAAUUAAAGGAUUCAUUGUCUUCGUGAUUGAGCACGACGAAGGGAAAAGUUUUGAACAAAUUUUUUCCUUUUUUUUUUUUAAUUUCAGUCACUUGCUUUUAUAGAUUAUGUCUAAUUACAAACUCCAUGCGUGUUCCGUUGCCAUACACAUAUAUAUAUAUAUACAUCGUUAAAAAUAUAUAUACUUUGAUAUUAUAUAUACCUGUCAUUAUAUAGGGUGUUCAGCAGUAAUCCUAUGUAUAGUAACUUCCGAACACCUUGUAUGGACAUUUCUAUUUCGCACUUUUCAUUACUUUUUCAUUGAACGGAUAUUUUGUCGAUUAUUAUACUUUGAUCAAGUUCGAUUUUUGGAAAAUUAUUGCAAUAUCUGGACGUGCGUUAUCUGCUAUCAAGUUUGACAAAGAGAAAAUGUAUGAAUAACCGUACGUUAUUACUUUUCCUUAAGUCCAUAGUGUACAGAUGUAGUAUGAAAAAAGAAACGUCAUAUAGAGUACUAGAAAGAGGCUGUAUCGUAAAUGGCACGAUAAAGAUAAAAAAAGGGAAAAGAAAAAUUUCUAAACAAGUUGAAAUGUGCCAUAAUUUUUUUUGGGGGAAAAAAAAUUUAAUCAUCUGACUCGAUACUGUCUACACUCGUUACAUGUCCUGUUUUCAUCACAAACUUACACAACCAAUUUUCUCUUGACAAAGAAAAGAAUGAAAAGAAAGAAGAGAAAGAAGAUGAAACAACCCUAUAUCUUAUUCUGUGGCUUUUCCUCUUUUCACUAUAUCCUCCUGCUUGCCUGUUAGAUGAGUAUUCCACAAUCGGUGUUCACGUUAGAAUAGAAUUGAUGAUUAGAUAUGUAUACCUAUAUAUAUUACAUACUAUAUACAUGUCUGUUAGCAUAUUAUGUUAUAUCGAUCGAUUGUGCAUACACGUGAAUAUGGAUUGAUUAUUGAUCGAUGUUAUCGGAUGCGUAGAAAUGGCAUCGAUGGAUCUUUAUCUUUUUUUUUCUCUCUUGAUUUUGAGAUAAAGUUUUCCGCAGGCAAAAGCCAAUUUACAUUUUAUUUUAAUUUUAUCAAUUUACAAUUUUGGAUUUACAAGAGAACCAAAAAAUUUGCGUCGUCGGUAAGACCGAGAUGGAAAAUCGAAUUUUGAAAAAUGUAUUGAUUUGUCUUUAACAGAUUCGUUACCGUUACGAUCAUUAACUGAAUCUUAUAAUGAUUUUGAUCCUCCGCUCAGAGAGUGAUCAGUACCACCACAUUGACAAAAUUAGGCAUACGUGUAAAAACACAUAUGCAGUUUCCCAUUGACCGUUAGCGACAAUCGAUUAGUGAAAAAAAAAAAAAGGCAAAAGUCCAAACUUUUUGUGAAAAGGUACCUAAAACUUUCAACUUCUUCGAAAAAUGAUAAAGCUAGAUCACUGAGACGUAUGAAAGAUCAUCAAAAAGGAAAUGAAAUGAAAAGUACAGAGAUUUUCGAAAACGAAGCUUGGACCCUCAAAAAGACCGAACGAGGAUCGCGGAUUAUUACUAUUUGACGGUGAAUGGGUAACGUCGCUGAUGGUGGUGGUGAUGGUGAUGGCGAUGACGAUAAUAAUGAGGAUGAUUAUAAUUUUAAGACAAAGUUAUCACAGAUUAUCAUGAAGCCGGUUACGUUUGUUGAUUAUUUUUAUGGUCAAUGAUGAUGAAGAUCAUGAUGACGAAUCAUGAUGGUGAUGGUGAUAUUCGCGUAUAAAUAUACAUACAUAGAUGUACGAUAUUAAGCAUACAUAUAUAUGCAUGCCAGCAAGCCUAAUCUGUCGCUGUGUGCCGUUUUGACAUGUGCUUGUUAUCGAACGAUUUAUUGUUAGUGUUUAAUUUUUCUUGAAAAAAAAAAAAAAGAAAAAAAAAUCACCCAUCUUCACA